rnacentral:lncRNA from 1 species
GCCAGGGUCCAGCUUCCCUGGUUUUAGAGUCGCCCUGAGCCCUCCUGAGGCGGUGGUCCGACAGAGGAUGUGAUACAACUGUGGCCAAUCAGAGGCUGUUCCAAACUAUCUCUACAAACGUGACUUGCUUGGCUGACUGGCAGAGACUCUAUUUCCUCGGUAGAAUUCCAUGCCUGGAGAUCUCCUUUUUGUAAUUUCUGAUCCAUGUGAUUCCAUGUAAACCCUUAGCAUCUUCAUUCAUUCCUAUCUAAUCCCUCACUCAAUAAAAAUUGACUCAGUGAUCACUGUGUGUCAGAUAAUUCGGGGAUCAGAAGUGAAAGACAC